rnacentral:misc_RNA from 1 species
AGCUAGCAAAGAAACUAUCCUGCAUGUUCCCAGGGAGAAGUGGCUUCAAGGAAUCGUACAUCCCAAAGUAGAGACCGCGGUAGACAAUAAUUCCCACACAAGAGAUGUUGAAUCCCCGGUAUAGGCCAGCAAGACCGUCAGUUUGCAGGGUCUUGCGGUAGACAUCGAUCAUGCCAUUGAACUGCCGCUGUCCGCCCUUCUUUGCUGCUUUAGCAUCAUUGGCUAGACGAGUUCGGGCAUAAUCUAGCGAGUAGACAAACAGUAGGGACGAUGCACCAGCAGCACCACCCGAAGCCAAAUUGCCUGCAAACCACUUCCAGUAGCCA